rnacentral:misc_RNA from 1 species
GAAAUGCGAUAAGUAAUGUGAAUUGCAGAAUUCAGUGAAUCAUCGAAUCUUUGAACGCACCUUGCGCUCCUUGGUAUUCCUUGGAGCAUGCCUGUUUGAGUAUCAUGAAAUCUUCAAAGUAAAUCUUUUGUUAACUCAAUUGGUUUCUACUUUGGUAUUGGAGGUCUUUGCAGCUUCACACCUGCUCCUCUUUGUUCAUUAGCUGGAUCUCAGUGUUAUGCUUGGUUCCACUCGGCGUGAUAAGUUAUCUAUCACUGAGGACACUGUAAAAGGUGGCCAAGGUAAAUGCAGAUGAACCGCUUCUAAUAGUCCAUUGACUUGGACAAUACUUUUAUGAUCUGAUCUCAAAUCAGGUAGGACUACCCGCUGAACUUAAGC